rnacentral:rRNA from 1 species
UACGUAAGGUGCAAGCGUUAUCCGGAAUCAUUGGGCGUAAAGAGUUCGUAGGCGUUUAUCAAGUCAGAUGUUAAAUAUCGAGGCUCAACCUCGAAAAGGUAUCUGAAACUGAUAAACUAGAGAAAUGCAGAGGUACGUGGAAUUCUGUAUGUAGGGGUAAUAUCCGUAGAUAUACAGAGGAACACCAAAAGCGAAGGCAGCGUACUGGGCAUUUUCUGACGCUGAGGAACGAAAGCGUGGGUAGCGAACGGGAUUAGAUACCCCCGUA